rnacentral:rRNA from 1 species
AUGUUUAUUGUUGUUUUGUUAAUUGUACAGAACGAGGACGCAUCCAAGGUUGAGAAUAGGGUGUGAAACCCCUUCAGAUCCAAGCUAGCUGCUACUGUGCUCGGUGGUGUGGACAACAUCUGGAUUGCUCCUGGAACACGUGUGCUAACCGUGUCUCGUGUGUCUGACAUUGUUGGACCGACAGGGUUGGUGUAUGCCGUUGAGUUCUCUCACGAGUGGUAGGGAUCUUGUCAACAUGGCCAAGAAGAGGACCAAUGUCAUCCCCAUCACUGA